GGGGGUGGUCCCUUCAGUUUUUGUUAACUUCCUGAGUUGUGUGUUUUUUGUUAACCUCCUGAAUUGUAUAGUUUUUGUUAACUUCCUGAGUUGUAUAGGUUUGGCUAACUUCCUGAGUUGUGCAGGUUUUUAUAACUUAAGGGGUGGGAAGUGGAAAAGUAUGUGGAGGGAAGACGGAUGUUUCCUAGUCACCCCUGUCCUUCCCAUCCCUCUCCCGAACCUCUGAUUCAAAGGCCAGAGAAGUGGAAACUAGCUGGUGGCUUUCCCUUCAACAGGAUACUAUGUGAGUUCACCUGAGAAGUAACAGCCAUCAUAAUGCACUAGUAACCUUGGAAGUGGAAAGAGCUCCCUCUUCUGGUGUCCGAAGAUGUGUCCUCCUGUGAGCCUGAGCCUGGGAGAGAUAUUGAACCUUCAACACUUAUCGGUGGUUCCUUCCUAGAGGCUAAUGGAUGUUGGGCAUGAUGAACCCUUAAAUCUGUGGAAAAAAGGAAAACUGCAAACAGGUCCAGAACUAGGACUGUGAGUUGGCCCACUACAGCAUCUACCGAAUUUAUGAACUGUUGGAGCAAGCCAAGGGGACCAACCUACAGAUCCAAAACAGCAGCAUCUCCAUGACACAGGACAGCAACAGGAUAUCCAAGAGGAGCACCACUGAGAGCCCAUUGUCAGUGGGGUGACAUAGCAGAAACCAGAGGCCUGGAGUCAAACUUGUGGCAAUGAAUACUUGCAAGUAAAGACAAUAGACUAAAGGGUAAACUGUGUGACUGCACAGGCCACACUAUAGCUUCCACUACAAGAUUCUUCUCUUUUUGUUUGUUUUUGUUUCUGUAUUUAUUUUUGUUUGGUUCAUUUUGGUUUUGGUUUUUCUUUCAAAUUUGGUUUUGUUUAGGGGAGAAGUUUGCAAGGGCAGAGGGAGGAUGUGAAGGGAUCAAGAGAUGAGUGAGAUUAGAGUGCAUGAUGUAAAAUCCACGAAGAACCAAUAAAAGUAAAAUUAAAAAAAAACAAGUAAACAAAACCCAUUGUGCACUUGAGAAUGGCAGAAGGGAGAAACCCUUUCCCAAAGAGGUUGCUUUUGUCUGUUCUAUUCCAUGGUAAAAGAAAACCAUAGUGAGAGAGGCAAACAGAAGCUCACUGAUAGGAAAAAACUCUCUGUUGGGCCCUCCAAUUGACUGUCUCAGUGAGGCUUCCCUGGUACAUUUCCGUGGGCCGUCAUAAGCUCCCAAUUUAAUAAUGUCAACCUUUAUUUGCUCUCAAUCAGGCCACGCCAGCUGUCAGUUAUAUGCUGUCACAUGACUUGAUGUUUUGCAAUAUAUAUGCUGCCUUUGUCUAUACGACAGCAUUUGUUCUUUAUCUUUUAUAUUUGUUAUUUGUUUACUGAAUGAGUACUUUCAAAACUGGAAAUAUGGGUAUCAUAUAACAUUUUCUGGACCAUACAGAGCAUGACCUUUUAGAGGCCACCUUCCUUUCUAUGCCUGUAGCUCACUGUCCACUGCAGUAGUGGGUAGAAGAUUCCACAGGUGAAAUAGCACGGAAGAGGGGUAUGGUCUUCUUCAGCUUUACAGAGUAGUGACUAGGAGGAUUUUAUUUCUAACACUAGAGGUCUGCAAAGCGUAUGACCUAGGUCUGAGCUUUAGAGAUUGUGACAGAAGAAGGGAGUCUGAAGUAGCAGGGGGAAAAUGUUGUAAACACAACCUUAAAGCACCUUCAAACCUAAGCUGAGAGGUAGAUGGUAGGAAGGAAGGGUAGUUAAUAAGAUGCAUAUAUGCAAAUAAAAUGUUCAGUUGUUAGGUUGAGAGUACAAUAUAUGGCAUAGUUGUUCAUCGGAUUUCAAAUCAGACUAAAGGAAUUUAAUUUUAAUUCUCAGAGUCAAAACUCUGAGUGUAGAGCUAAUGAAUGCAGACUCUAACAGACAAAGGGAACAUGGAUCUGUUUCUAAAUUGGGAAUAGGUUGCUUCAUCCUAAAUUGCUAAGACCUUCUAUUAGUUGCAUGAGCUUAUCUCCCGUGUGUUUUGGAUUCAGUGUAUUUUGGCUUCAGACAUGAUAAGCAAAUAGGAAAUGGUUUCAGCUUUACACCUACAUAUUUGCCAAACCUUAUCCACACAUGUCUUUUAGGACAUUUGAAAAGAGGCUAGGAGACUCAAAUGGGGGAAAAACAGAUAAGGGGCAAUUUCUUACUUCCAUUCUAACAUUUGCUUAGUUAUAGACUCUUUUCUGUGAGUCAUGUGCAACCUUACCACACAUAUGUAGACCCACUUCAAGCCAUUUAUAUGUAUGUAGACCUGCUUCAAGCCAUUUAUGGGCAAACUCCUGAUAGCUACCCUUUUUACUGUUGGUUGGCUUUAAAAGAGAGUGGGCCAUGAGUCAUCAAGAUAUAUCACUUUGAUAGGUAUGAAAAGUAAAUGAUCCUAUCAAAUAGGAUAUACAUGUGUGGAAAAUAUAGGAUUACAUCAAGUUCAUAAGUCUUUGUACCUCCAAGACUGUUUAAAGCUCAUAUUUAAACACACAUGUUAAUUGGGAUAGUUUCCCAUUCAUCUCAAUUUGGGGAACUGUGUGUACUACACCUUUCUGAGGGAACAUUCUCUGUGAGUGUCUGUCCUCCUGUAGGCUGUCAGAGGAGCCCAGAGCAGCCAACUCACAAAGGUGCUAUUAUGCUGAAUAUCAUCCCUUUAGCAUUUGACAUCCACAGAGUGGAAGCUGAGGCUCAGAACCAGGCUCUCCUUUUUGUAAUUCCUCUUACUUCCCGCAUAAGAUGAAGAAGGAAGUUCUUCUGCAUAAAUCUGUCUUCCAGGGAAGGUUGUCACCUCUACAAAUUCAAGGGUUAAACAAUAAUGCAAUCUUGAGUUACUUGAAAGGCUGCAUGACCCUGACUCAGAUAGUGUACACCUUGUUCACAGAAAGUUGGGACACAACCUGUGUGGACCAUUUGACACUUGGCACAAACAAAUUCCCAUUUGUUAUCUUUGACUUUAAUAUCUCACGAGCAUUGUGUACCAUAUACCCACUCCUUCACAACAAGCCUAUUUUAUCCUAGAAAAGCUGUAGAAUGAAAUACAGACAUAAAGGAAUCAUAACCAUUCCAUUAAUGGUUUGUAUUAAAGGACUGUCUAAGACCUGGACAGCAUUAUAACUUUAAAAUUAUUUUGUCUGUUCAGAUUUAUAACGAUUUUACAGAUACACAAUUGAUUAAUAAAUUUGGAAUCAUAGUUCUACAAAAUCUUACCAGGUCGAUAACAUUAUUGGAAUAUUCAGUAAGAUUUAAAUUCCUUCAGCUUUAUGUACAAGUUUAACAAAUUAGGGUCUGUAAAAACAAUAAAGGCUUAGGAAAAUGUGUCUGUUGGUGAAAAUAAAGAUAUGUGAAAUAUUUGGUUGACUGCUAUAAACAAAUUUGGUUUAAAGAAAACUCUAAUUAUUUACGUCUCAAAGUGAAGCACCUUAAAACUUGGGGAUUAAAAUUUUCUGUCAGACUUGGAUGAUCCCUCACAGGAGGCCUCACACUCCCUGAGGAUUAGCUAGGGUGUGGGAUGGGGAGUUGGUGGGGAGCAUGGGAGGAUGGGAGGGAGAGGGAACUGGGAUUGGUAUGUAAAAUAAUUGUUUUUCAUUUAAAUAAAAAUUUAUUUUAAAAUUUUCUGUGCUUAAAAUUGAAACAGUAGAUACUGUAAAUACCAGUCAGUCUAUUGUUAUUACCUUACAUGCGAAAGACUCCGAGUUGGACCCCCACCAAUACUAAAAUAAAGAUAGGUGUUUUCAAAUUUAA